rnacentral:rRNA from 1 species
AUUGAACGCUGGCGGCAGGCCUAACACAUGCAAGUCGAGCGGAUGAAGGGAGCUUGCUCCUGGAUUCAGCGGCGGACGGGUGAGUAAUGCCUAGGAAUCUGCCUGGUAGUGGGGGAUAACGUCCGGAAACGGGCGCUAAUACCGCAUACGUCCUGAGGGAGAAAGUGGGGGAUCUUCGGACCUCACGCUAUCAGAUGAGCCUAGGUCGGAUUAGCUAGUUGGUGGGGUAUAGGCCUACCAAGGCGACGAUCCGUAACUGGUCUGAGAGGAUGAUCAGUCACACUGGAACUGAGACACGGUCCAGACUCCUACGGGAGGCAGCAGUGGGGAAUAUUGGACAAUGGGCGAAAGCCUGAUCCAGCCAUGCCGCGUGUGUGAAGAAGGUCUUCGGAUUGUAAAGCACUUUAAGUUGGGAGGAAGGGCAGUAAGUUAAUACCUUGCUGUUUUGGCGUUACCAACAGAAUAAGCACCGGCUAACUUCGUG